UGAGACAAAGUUCCUCCAGAGCUGUUCUUCUGCUUUCCAUGUCUGCACUGUGGAGCAGACGUUGGCCGUGAAGGAGCUCUCUCCUGACGCCAUCUUGCAGUUGUAUAUUUUAGUUGCAGGUCCUUCUAGCUGUGGGAUGUGGGACGCCGCCUCAACGUGGCCUGACGAGUGGUGCCAUGUCCGCGCCCGGGAUCUGAACCCUGGUCCACCACAGUGGAGCACCAGAACUUAACCACUUGGCCAAGGAGCUGGCCCCUGUAAUUUUUAAAUAAUGAGCCAAACAAGUGAAGAUUU
rnacentral:lncRNA from 1 species